CUGUGUGUCAAAACUUAUUGUUGGGCGAGUUGGUACGCAUUCAUAGUAAAAUAUUUAGCGCGUACCAAUU
rnacentral:lncRNA from 1 species